rnacentral:misc_RNA from 1 species
AACGCACGAGACCUGCGGACCUGCGGAAGGAUCAUUACCGAGUUUACAACUCCCAAACCCAUGUGAACAUACCUAUUGUUGCUUCGGCGGGAUUGCCCCGGGCGCCUCGUGUGCCCCGGAUCAGGCGCCCGCCUAGGAAACUUAACUCUUGUUUUAUUUUGGAAUCUUCUGAGUAGUUUUUACAAAUAAAUAAAAACUUUCAACAACGGAUCUCU